rnacentral:rRNA from 1 species
AGAGCGAACGCUGGCGGCAGGCCUAAUACAUGCAAGUCGAACGGACCCUUCGGGGUUAGUGGCGGACGGGUGAGUAACACGUGGGAACGUGCCCUUUGGUUCGGAACAACUCAGGGAAACUUGAGCUAAUACCGAAUGUGCCCCCAUCCUUAAACAAGAUGGGUGGGAAAGAUUUAUCGCCAUUGGAGCGGCCCGCGUCUGAUUAGCUAGUCGGUGAGGUAAAGGCUCACCAAGGCGACGAUCAGUAGCUGGUCUGAGAGGAUGAUCAGCCACACUGGGACUGAGACACGGCCCAGACUCCUACGGGAGGCAGCAGUAGGGAAUCUUGCGCAAUGGGCGAAAGCCUGACGCAGCCAUGCCGCGUGAAUGAUGAAGGUCUUAGGAUUGUAAAAUUCUUUCAGCGGGGACGAUAAUGACGGUACCCGCAGAAGAGCCCCGGCUAACUUCGUGCCAGCAGCCGC